CAUUAGUUUAGUGGUAAAAUAUUUGCCCUCCAAGCAGAUUGUCCGAGUUCGAUUCCCGGAC
rnacentral:tRNA from 1 species